rnacentral:rRNA from 1 species
GACGUAGGGCGCGAGCGUUGUCCGGAUUUAUUGGGCGUAAAGAGCUCGUAGGCGGCUUGUCGCGUCGUUCGUGAAAACCCACAGCUCAACUGUGGGCUUGCGGGCGAUACGGGCAGGCUAGAGUUCGGUAGGGGAGACUGGAAUUCCUGGUGUAGCGGUGAAAUGCGCAGAUAUCAGGAAGAACACCCGUGGCUAAGGCGGCUCUCUAGUACGGUACUGACGCUGAGACGCGAAAGCGUGGGGAGCGAACAGG